ensembl:misc_RNA Metazoa_SRP Metazoan signal recognition particle RNA
GCUGGGCGUGGUGGCGCAUGCCUGUAAUCCCAGCUACUCGGGAGGCUGAGACAGGAGAAUUGCUUGAACCCGGGAUGCAGAGGUUGCAGUGAGCCGAGAACGCACCCCUACACUCCAUCCUGGGUGACAGAGCGAGACUCUGUCUCAA